GUGAGAACUGAACUGCAUCAGACAGCAAGGAGAGCAAGAUGAAGUCACAGACCCAGAUUUUCAUAUCCCUGCUGCUUUGGAUGUCUGGUGCCUGUGCAGACAUCGUGAUGAUUCAGUCUCCAUCCUCCCUGGCUGUGUCAGCUGGAGAGAAGGUCACCAUCAGAUGCAGGUCCAGUCAGAGUCUUUUAAGCACUGGAAAUCAAAAGAACUACUUAGCCUGGUACCAGCAGAAACCAGGGCAAUCCCCUAAACUGCUUAUCUACUGGGCAUCCACUCGGUACACUGGGGUCCCUGAUCGCUUCAUAGGCAGUGGAUCUGGGACAGAUUUCACUCUCAGCAUCAGCAGUGUGCAGGCUGAAGACCUGGCAGUUUAUUACUGUAUGCAGCAUUAUGAUUAUCCUCCCACAGCAGAGGAUGGUUUAGCUGAAGGCACCAUUAAGGCUUAG